UACGGAGGGUGCGAGCGUUAUCCGGAUUCACUGGGUUUAAAGGGUGCGUAGGUGGAUUGGUAAGUCAGUGGUGAAAUCUCUGGGCUUAACCCGGAAACUGCCAUUGAUACUAUCGAUCUUGAAUAUCGCGUAGGUAAGCGGAAUAUGUCAUGUAGCGGUGAAAUGCAUAGAUAUGACAUAGAACACCAAUUGCGAAGGCAGCUGGCUACACAAAUAUUGACGCUGAGGCACGAAAGCGUGGGGAUCAAACAGG
rnacentral:rRNA from 1 species